ensembl:lncRNA
GCUGCUGGAUGGGAUUAGCAUGUCAUAGCUAUCUACCAAACUGCUAACUGGGGGAUUUCAGGCCAUCUAUGGAUCAUUUUUGCUAACUGUUUAUUCAGCUUAGGCUCACAGGGCUGCAGCCUGUGCCCUAGCUGUCAUAGGGCAAGAGGCGUGGUCCACCUGCACAGGUGAGCAGUCCAUCACAGGGCCAACAGAGAGAGACAGAGAAGCACUCUCUCACAUCCACACCUACAGCCAAUUUAGAAGCACCAAUGAACCUAAGCAGCAUUUCAUUGGACUGUGGGAGAACAUCCAACCUCCACAGAAAGGCCAACAAGCUUCAACCUACAACCUUCUUGCUUUAAGGCACUAGUGCGAACCACUUUUCCCCAUUUCAGCCCAAAUCCUGCAUCUUCCUGUUUCUGACUCCAGGCCAGCUCCACUAACACUUUCUCAUCAGACACUGCCACCUAGUGGAGGAAGUCUUAGUCCCAUUUGAAGCUUCAGAUUACAGUUAGUUCCUUUACAAAGAGGUGGAGGUGGUGGGGCCACAGCACCAUCAUCACUGAGUGCCAUAGGACACUUAACCUUUGUUUCCAUGUGCUGGGAACUUCCUGUUGUUCCAAGGAGGACUGGAAAAUGUGUGAAAACCUCCCAGUCAGUUCCUCACAGCACACUUCAAUCAUUUCCCUCCCACAGCAUCAGGACCAGGGCUUUUUCUCUCUUUGGUCCCACUAAGAGAUUUCCACACAAACACCUCAUCAGUGGGACUCUCAGAGCUACCAGCCCUUUGCUACAAUCACAAAGCUCUUCAUUGAAAUCAAUGAUAUCAAAGCUGGAAUCAAAUGAGUCCAAGUCUUCUGCUGAUUCAGCAUCACAUUCAUCUUUGCUCCUUGUCCUGCAUCCCCACCAUGGACUUCAUUCCUUUCCAAGCCAGCCUUGAGUGUCCUUUAUUCAGCUCAUCCUCUGCUUUACUUUUACACCUGAUUUUAGCUGCUUUAUCUCUCUUUCAACAAGUUUCUGUGCCUCAAUCUUUUUCUUCUCUCCCUCAUAACAAGACAGCUUCUUCUGCCUGAGAACAUGUUGGAGUGAUUUACUAAUCCAGGGCUGCUUAUUGGGGAAAAUACUUCCUGUUUCCAAAGUUAUCCCCAUUUUUCCCAGAAAGAAAUGUAAGUAGAAAUCGAUGAUCUAAGUGAGAACAUGAGCCUUUAAAAAGUCCCAGUGGGUGCAGUCAAAGCAGUCCCUCAGUCCCAGUAUAGAGUCUUUGGUCCAGACUGGAACAACUGUGUGCCCAGUUUGAGCUCUCUUCAGUGCUGUGACCUGACAGACCCAGAGGGGCCAUCACAUCACAUUUAGAAGCUCCCCUAAUGGAGCCACAACACAUGUCCAACACUUAGUCUGUCUUGUUGGACCAACUGGAAGAAAUGAUUCAAGGACUUAGUCACAGAACAGAGAUUCAAAUCUCCAAAAUCCAACUGGCUGCAUCAGGACAUAUAGUCUGAAACUCUGCACAGUUUCCUGUUUGAAGCUGCUUCCUGUUGGCUUCAGCUGUUUGGAGUUUCCAUUUUCUAAACUUCUACAUUCUGAACCUUCUUCAGCUCUGAACAGAUGAUGAAACACUGAAUGAUUUCAAGCUCACACUUUGUCUAAUAAACUUACAUCUUUCAUUCUUUAUACAGAUUGGAGAGCUGUGGUUUGUCAAAGAUCAGCUGUGAUUAUCUGGCAGCAGCACUGAAGUCCAACCCCUCCCAUCUGAGAGAGCUGAACCUGUGGGGAAACAACCUGAAGGAUCCAGAUGUGAAGCAGCUGUCUGAUCUUCAGCAGAGUCCAGACUACAGACUGGAGACUCUGGGGUCAGUAGAGUGAUGGAGUGAGUGGGUGGUGCUGUCAGCAGUAUUGUACUAAACACAGUCAGUAUGAAGCAAAGAUCCAGUGUUUCCUGUAAAGCUGCAGCUUCUCAGUGAAGCUGUGAGAGGAGAAUGGUGACAGGCUUCAGGAUUGGACACAAACACUUCCUGUUUCUGACCUUUAUGGUCACCAUAGUAACGGCUGACACGCUCUGAUCAAACACUGUCAACAGCCAAUCAGCUCUCUGAACAAAGCAGCACGCAGACCAAUGACUGCAUUCAUUUCCAAGUUUAAAGCAGUGAAGAACACAGUCUGUAGGUGAGGAAGAAUUUAGUGAGAGCAGAUGUUUGGAUGGAAUUCCUCCAGUUAACAGCUGGAACCGUCCAUCUGGAUUGUUGGGCUUGUUGUUGGGGUUCCUACAGAGCUCAGAGUGGACACACCAAGGUGGAGCUGGUGAUGGUAAACAGGACGGUGUGUGUGCUGAGAGAGGAGGAGCUGUGUCCUGAUGAUCCAGAGAGGUUGAAGCAGCAGCAGCUUGUGUGUAGAGACGCUCUGACUGGGCCAUGUUACUGGGAGGUGGAGAGGAGAGCUUCAUCCAGCAGUGACUGACAGAGGAAUGAGAAGAAGUGCAGAUGACUGUCAGUGCUGCAGAGUGAACUGCUCUGAGAACAGCUCCACUGUCAGACACAAUGUAGAGUCCAGCAUCAUCCCUGUGUGUCCCUCUGGAUCUGACAGAGGAUCAUCAGUGUAUCUGGACUGCUCUGCUGCUGCUCUGUCCUUCUACAGUCUCUGCACAGUCUCUGUCUGACUCUGGCUACAUUUUUGGCAUUUAUAUUCUUGGUUGCUCUCUUUAUAUUUUUCACAUGCAAAAUGUGCCCAUCUUUGGCAAGAUUCACACUGCACCUGGAAAGGAAAAAUAAAUGGCUCAUAUUCUGUUUGGUGAAUACUAUUACUCAACAUUUUAAUUAUGAUUGGCAAGUAAUGAUACUAAG